CCUACGGGAGGCAGCAGUGGGGAAUAUUGCGCAAUGGGCGAAAGCCUGACGCAGCGACGCCGCGUGAGGGAUGAAGGUCUUCGGAUCGUAAACCUCUGUCAGCAGGGAAGAACGGUCAAUGUGCUAAUCAGCAGUGAAUUGACGGUACCUGCAAAGGAAGCACCGGCUAACUCCGUGCCAGGCGCCGCGGUAAUAGGGAGGGUGCGAUCGUUAAUCGGAAUUAUUGGGCGUAAAGCUCUCGUAGGCGGUAUUGCAAGUCAAGGGUGAAAUCCCCGCGCGAAACGUGGGAACUGCCUUUGAAACUGGCAAACUAGAGGGUGUGAGAGGAAAGUGGAAUUCCAGGUGUAGGAGUGAAAUGCGUAGAUAUCAGGAGGAACAUCAGUGGCGAAGGCGACUAUCUGGAACAUAACUGACGUUGAGGAUCGAAAGCGUGGGUAGCAAACAGGAUUAGAUACCCUGGUAGUC
rnacentral:rRNA from 1 species